GGCAGUAUGAACGCACGCGUUGACAUCGUACAACCCUCGCAAAACUUGUCAGUCGGGGCAUCCGCCGAUCAGUCAUUAAAAUGCCGCACAGCCACCUCUCGUAGUUGUCUCAGAAGAAGAAAAUGAUGUUCUGCGCGUCUAUACCGACUUAACUGGUGACACUCCGUCCUCCAACUACACUGGGGGAACACUGUGAUCUGAAUAUUUCGGG